rnacentral:tRNA from 1 species
UUGCCCCGUCGUUCAACGGCAGGACCCCGCACUUUGGAUGCGGUGAUCGUGGUUCGAAUCCACGCGGGGCAAUCC